CAGCCGCCGCGGUAACACGGAGGGAGCUAGCGUUGUUCGGAAUUACUGGGCGUAAAGCGCGCGUAGGCGGUUACUCAAGUCAGAGGUGAAAGCCCGGGGCUCAACCCCGGAACUGCCUUUGAAACUAGGUGACUAGAAUCUUGGAGAGGUCAGUGGAAUUCCGAGUGUAGAGGUGAAAUUCGUAGAUAUUCGGAAGAACACCAGUGGCGAAGGCGACUGACUGGACAAGUAUUGACGCUGAGGUGCGAAAGCGUGGGGAGCAAACAGGAUUAGAUACCCCUGUAGUCCCUGUCUCUUAUAC
rnacentral:rRNA from 1 species